rnacentral:rRNA from 1 species
AUUGAACGCUGGCGGCAGGCCUAACACAUGCAAGUCGAGCGGAUGAAGGGAGCUUUCUCCUGGUUUCAGCGUCGGACGGUUGUGUAAUGCCUAGGAAUCUGCCUGGUUGUGUGUUUUAACUUCCGUAAACGGGCGCUAAUCCCGCAUACGUCCUUAGGGUGAAAUUGUGUGUUCUUCGUUCCUCACGCUUUCAUAUUUGCCUAGGUCGUAUUAGCUAGUUGGUGGGGUAAAGUCCUACCAAGGCGACGAUCCGUAACUGGUCUGAGAGGAUGAUCAGUCACACUGGAACUGAGACACGGUCCAGAGUCCUACGGGAGGCAGCAGUGGGGAAUAUUGGACAAUGGGCGAAAGCAUGAUCCAGCAAUGCCGCGUGUGUGAAGAAGGUCUUCGGAUUGUAAAGCACUUUAAGUUGGGAGGAAGGGAAGUAAGUUAAUAACUUGCUGUUUUGACGUUACCAACAGAAUAAGCAACGGCUAACUUCGUG